rnacentral:rRNA from 1 species
UACGGAGGGUGCAAGCGUUAUCCGGAAUCAUUGGGUUUAAAGGGUCCGCAGGCGGACAUAUAAGUCAGUGGUGAAAGCCCAUCGCUUAACGAUGGAACUGCCAUUGAUACUGUAUGUCUUGAAUUCGGUCGAAGUGGGCGGAAUAUGUCAUGUAGCGGUGAAAUGCUUAGAUAUGACAUAGAACACCGAUAGCGAAGGCAGCUCACUAGGCCUGGAUUGACGCUCAGGGACGAAAGCGUGGGGAGCAAACAGG